rnacentral:snoRNA from 1 species
UUACGCCUUUCUUUGGCAGACCUGGAGCAGUCACUGCCUGCUGCUAAGGUUCCAGUGCAGACGCAAAGAAAAAGGGUCCCCGUGCUUUCUGUCUGUCUCAUUGUGGCAGCCAAGACUGAAUGGGGAAACAGCA